rnacentral:rRNA from 1 species
AUUGAACGCUGGCGGAAUGCUUUACACAUGCAAGUCGAACGGCAGCACGGGGGCAACCCUGGUGGCGAGUGGCGAACGGGUGAGUAAUACAUCGGAACGUGCCCAGUCGUGGGGGAUAACGUAGCGAAAGUUACGCUAAUACCGCAUACGAUCUACGGAUGAAAGCGGGGGACCGUAAGGCCUCGCGCGAUUGGAGCGGCCGAUGUCAGAUUAGGUAGUUGGUGGGGGAAAGGCUCACCAAGCCGACGAUCUGUAGCUGGUCUGAGAGGACGACCAGCCACAAUGGGACUGGGACACGGCCCAGACUCCUACGGGAGGCAGCAGUGGGGAAUUUUGGACAAUGGGCGCAAGCCUGAUCCAGCCAUUCCGCGUGCAGGACGAAGGCCUUCGGGUUGUAAACUGCUUUUGUACGGAACGAAAAGGCUCUGGUUAAUACCUGGGGCUCAUGACGGUACCGUAAGAAUAAGCACCGGCUAACUACGUGCCAGCCGCCGCAGUAA